ACGGCAGCAUGGUGUGUAGCAAUACACACUGAUGGCGAGUGGCGGACGGGUGAGGAACGCGUAGGAAUCUGCCUUACAGAGGAGGACAACUAGAGGAAACUCUAGCUAAUACUGCAUAAACUCUGAGGAGCAAAGGCUAGGUAGCAAUACCUGGCGCUGUAAGAGGAGCCUGCGUCCGAUUAGCUAGUUGGUAGGGUAAAGGCCUACCAAGGCGAUGAUCGGUAGCUGGUCUGAGAGGAUGAUCAGCGCGACACUGGGACUGAGACACGGCCCAGACUCCUAAGGGAGGCAGCAGUGGGGAAUAUUGGACAAUGGGGGCAACCCUGAUCCAGCAAU
rnacentral:rRNA from 1 species